rnacentral:misc_RNA from 1 species
AACGCACCUUGCGCCCCUUGGUAUUCCGAGGGGCAUGCCUGUUUGAGUGUCAUUAAAUUCUCAACCCCGAAUCUUUUUUCGGGGCUUGGACUUUGGAGUGUGCUGGCGUCCGGUCGGCUCCUCUCAAAUGCAUUGGCGGAAUUGAACCUUCGGUGUCUGUACGUCAGUGUGAUAAUCAACGUUGCGCUGUCGUCGGUCAUCAAAGUCCGCUUACAAUGGUCUUCGGACAAACCCUUCAUCAAAUUUGACCUCAAAUCAGGUAGGACUACCCGCUGAACUUAA